rnacentral:lncRNA from 1 species
AUGACCCUUGCAUGCACACGCCCCUUCCAGAUGACUGGCAAUUUGGAAAACCUCAUCAGACACAAGGUUAUGUUUCUGUGCCCUGUUACUCAAUAUAACUUCUGUCUGACUAAUUGCCACUUAGGACAGGACAAGCUGCUCCUACUCCUUGCACAGUGCAAACGCUGGUGGCAUGGAGGGGUUUUGCCAUCUCUGGGCUGCCUCCUGCACAAGACCAGUGUCCUUCUCAUUUGGCUGCCAUGCAGAAGGGAGUGCACCAUCCCACCUUCUGUCCCCUGCCGGCUGACAGAGUUACAGGGGACAUCUGUCACUGUUUUAAGGUCAGUAAGGAUGGAGAAAUAUGGCUUGCUGGCAUGGCGGAGAGCAUGAUGGAGGUAAAGGAGACGACCACUUUGAGAAGAAGACUCACUGCAUCUGAAACACAUGCUGCUGAGGACAACCGGUCUGUUCAUGGGUGAGCAAUCAAAGCUGUCAUUUAGUUCUGAAAAUGGGGAGAGGAUACUGACUUAUACACCAAUGUAAUCAGCCUUUAACCUGGACAAACACUUUGUUCCUCUUUGGUUGUAAGCAAAAGCCUUCCUGUUCCUCUGCAAGACAGCUACGCUGAGGCUUUCCAGACUCAUAGAAAGCAAAGCACCAAGUUCUGGAAAAUAUAAAACAGAAAAAACAAUCUGUCAAGGUUUGUACGCAUGGAUUUAAUAAGCUUUGAUUAGAAUUUUAUCUGAGAUGGUAGAUGUGACUUGAAUGACAAGGGGAUUGAGUCAAGUUGUAACAUCAGUAGAGGUAUUUUGAUUUCAGUCAUUUCUUUAAAAUGCUUUUAGAUGAGAUUUAAAUAAUCAUUUAGUCAUAUAAGACCUCCCAUCCAAACCUUUUCCAAAAUUGAAAAAAGGAUGAGGCUGAUAGUGCUGAAUAUAUGGUAACACUGUUCUAGUGUGGGGAUUAGCACAGAACUAUCAUUUGUAUCACUAUCGUUUGUAUCAUUUUCUUUGACUUUUCCAUAAAUUACUGAGAAAUGAAACAAUGCAGAAAUUCAUGAGAGGCUUUUUGGAGCAUGCUACAAAUUACAAAUAUGCAGCAAAAGUUACUGUGUCCCUUAUCUUGGUUGACUUUUGGAAUCAGUAUAGAUUUUUCAAUUUUAAUUUUCUAUAUUUGUUAUAUUUACUUGAAGAUGUAGUUUAUUCCCUUUAUUAUUAUUCUCUUUAAUAAAGUGUAAGGAAUAAGCUGGCUAUCUGUAGAU